UACGUAGGGUGCGAGCGUUGUCCGGAAUUAUUGGGCGUAAAGGGCUCGUAGGCGGUCUGUCGCGUCGGGAGUGAAAACUCAGGGCUUAACCCUGAGCCUGCUUCCGAUACGGGCAGACUAGAGGUAUGCAGGGGAGAACGGAAUUCCUGGUGUAGCGGUGAAAUGCGUAGAGAUCAGGAGGAACACCUGUGGUGUAGACAGCUUACUGGACGGUGACUGACGCUGAGGCACGAAAGCGUGGGUAGCAAACAGG
rnacentral:rRNA from 1 species